rnacentral:rRNA from 1 species
CCUACGGGAGGCAGCAGUGGGGAAUAUUGGGCAAUGGAGGCAACUCUGACCCAGCAACGCCGCGUGAAUGAUGAAGGUCUUCGGAUUGUAAAGUUCUGUGAUGGGGGAUGAACACAAUGACGGUACCCCAAUAGCAAGCCACGGCUAACUACGUGCCAGCAGCCGCGGUAAUACGUAGGAGGCAAGCGUUAUCCGGAAUGACUGGGCGUAAAGGGUGCGUAGGUGGUUUGACAAGUUGGUAGCGUAACUCCGGGGCUCAACCUCGGCACUACUACCAAAACUGUCGGACUUGAGUGCAGGAGGGGCAAAUGGAAUUCCUAGUGUAGCGGUGGAAUGCGUAGAUAUUAGGAGGAACACCAGUGGCGAAGGCGAUUUGCUGGACUGUAACUGACACUGAGGCACGAAAGCGUGGGGAGCAAACAGGAUUAGAUACCCCUGUAGUC